rnacentral:RNase_P_RNA from 1 species
CCAGUCGGCUGGAUGGCCGCUCUCGCUAGGCCCGCAAGGGUGCGAGGGAGGAAAGUCCGGGCUCCACGGGAAAAGGGUGCCGGGUAACGCCCGGCGAAGGUGACUUCAGGGAAAGUGCCACAGAAAACAAACCGCCGCAGUUCGCUGCGGUCAGGGUGAAAAGGUGGGGUAAGAGCCCACCGCGGGCCUGGCAACAGGCUUGGCAUGGCAAACCCCACCCGGAGCAAGACCUAAUAGGGGCGGCAUGAAACGCAAGUUUCAAAGCUUUUCCGGCUCGCUGCCCGGGUUGGUUGCGCGAGGCAUUUGGCAACAAAUGUCCCAGAUGAAUGGCCAUACACUGUGAAGGCAACUUCAUGGGGACAAAACCCGGCUUACAGGCCGACUGGUAAU